rnacentral:rRNA from 1 species
CUACAGGCUUAACACAUGCAAGUCGAGGGGCAGCAUUUUAGUUUGCUUGCAAACUAAAGAUGGCGACCGGCGCACGGGUGAGUAACACGUAUCCAACCUGCCGAUAACUCGGGGAUAGCCUUUCGAAAGAAAGAUUAAUAUCCGAUAGUAUAUUAAAACCGCAUGGUUUUACUAUUAAAGAAUUUCGGUUAUCGAUGGGGAUGCGUUCCAUUAGUUUGUUGGCGGGGUAACGGCCCACCAAGACUACGAUGGAUAGGGGUUCUGAGAGGAAGGUCCCCCACAUUGGAACUGAGACACGGUCCAAACUCCUACGGGAGGCAGCAGUGAGGAAUAUUGGUCAAUGGACGAGAGUCUGAACCAGCCAAGUAGCGUGAAGGAUGACUGCCCUAUGGGUUGUAAACUUCUUUUAUAUGGGAAUAAAGUAUUCCACGUGUGGGAUUUUGUAUGUACCAUAUGAAUAAGGAUCGGCUAACUCCGUGCCAGCAGCCGCGGUAAUACGGAGGAUCCGAGCGUUAUCCGGAUUUAUUGGGUUUAAAGGGAGCGUAGGUGGAUUGUUAAGUCAGUUGUGAAAGUUUGCGGCUCAACCGUAAAAUUGCAGUUGAAACUGGCAGUCUUGAGUACAGUAGAGGUGGGCGGAAUUCGUGGUGUAGCGGUGAAAUGCUUAGAUAUCACGAAGAACUCCGAUUGCGAAGGCAGCUCACUA